rnacentral:tRNA from 1 species
GGGGCCAUAGCUCAGCUGGGAGAGCGCCUGCCUUGCACGCAGGAGGUCGUCGGUUCGAUCCCGACUGGCUCCA